CAGAGGUUCCCAAAGUGUGGGGCCCGCCCCCUAGGGGGGGGCGCAGAGCCAUUGCAGGGGGGGCGCGGUAUGAAAAGAAAAAAAAAAAGAAAGAGCGCUUGGACACUGUGGACAGGUUUUUGACGGGGCUCCCACACAAACGCAAAGCAGGAGAUGAAGCAUCGCCAAAUAUGUUUCCAAACCAACUUCCUUCCAAGCCAAAGACUAGAAAAUAUGGUGAAGCAUAUCUUCCCUUUGGCUUCACCUGCACAAGUGCCGAGAUUGGUUUGUAUCUGAAUAACUAUGGGACACAAGCAGCUCUGGUGGUUUUCACAUAAAGCCCUGAUCCUGUGGUGUGUGAUGUUCAGGUUGG
ensembl:lncRNA